AAUCCAUGUUGUGGGCACCUCAGCAAAUGAUCCUUGAAGCGUUCCCAUGUCUAAAACAAUUAUUCCAUUUCCAUCUGCACAAACGAUGAGAUCUCAUUACGAAGCUU